rnacentral:rRNA from 1 species
UACGGGGGGAGCAGUCGUUGUCGGAAUUUACUGGGCGUAAAGGGCGCGUAGGCGGCUCUUCAAGUCAGCCGUGAAAUCUCCAGGCUUAACCUGGGAAGGGUCGGUUGAUACUGUCGAGCUAGAGUGUGGAAGAGGCAACUGGAAUUCCGUGUGUAGCGGUGAAAUGCGUAGAUAUGACGGAGGAACACCUGCGGCGAAGGCGGGUUGCGCUGGGCCAACACGUGACGCUGAGGCGCGAAAGCUAGGGGUAGCAAACGGG